rnacentral:rRNA from 1 species
CACGUAGUUAGCCGGAGCUUCCUCCUAAGGUACCGUCAUUAUCGUCCCUUAAGACAGAGGUUUACAAUCCGAAAACCUUCUUCCCUCACGCGGCAUCGCUGCAUCAGAGUUUCCUCCAUUGUGCAAUAUUCCCUACUGCUGCCUCCCGUAGGAGUCUGGGCCGUGUCUCAGUCCCAAUGUGGCCGUUCUACCUCUCAGUACGGCUACUGAUCGUCGCCUUGGUGAGCCGUUACCUCACCAACAAGCUAAUCAGACGCGAGCCCAUCUUUAAGCGAUAAAUCUUUGAUACACAAACCAUGCGGUUCGUGUAUGUUAUGCGGUAUUAGCGGUCGUUUCCGACCGUUAUCCCACUCUUAAAGGCAGGUUGCUCACGUGUUACUCACCCGUCCGCCACUAACUUAAGAGAGCAAGCCCUCUCAAGUCCGUUCGACUUGCAUGUGUUAAGCGUGCCGCCAGCGUUCGUCUGAGCCAGGAUCAAACUCU